CCUUGGUCUCGCUGGCAUCUUUUAUCUUUGACUUUAGGAGCUCCAGUAGACCAAGGAGUGCAACAUCAAUAUCAUCAUUUCUCAUGAGAGCCUCAGCGACCUCCGCAGGCGUCACCAUCACCUCCUUGAUCAGCUCCUCGAUCUCUGGAUAUGUGACAUGAUAGUCGAUCGAGUGGUAGUUGCUGGCAAGAAUCCGGAAAGCCUCUGGGGUGCAGUACCCCAUGUGGAUGUGCAUGUCCAUCCUGCCAGGCCGCAUAAGUGCUUGAUCAAGACGCUCCUUGUAAUUGGUCGUGAAAACGAUGAUCCUUUCCUCUCCACUUGUUGACCACAGCCCAUCAACAAAAUUGAGCAGCCCGGAUAAUGUUACCUGUGUGGACGGCAAUCAAAUUCUUAUCAGCAUAGAGUUGGACUUGGUACGUUCCUCCCCUGCCUCCCGUUGUUUCAGUUCGAUGCUACAGUCAAUGUCCUCAACAACAAGAAUGGACCGGCUGGUCAUUCCGACUAGAAGCCUUCUGAGCUCCGAGUUGGAAUGGACCCCAGUCAGCUCAAGAUCAUAUAUGUCAAACUUGAGAUGAUUCGCCAUGGCUGCAAUCAAGCUGGACUUGCCAGUCCCUGGUGGACCAUACAGCAGCUUCUGGUCCAUGGCAAGCGUGUCGAAUGUGGAUGGGUGGUGGAGAUCAAUUGGAGACCAUGAGUCUGAGUAUUCAUUCAUGUAUAUCUGGAGAAUUCUUUCCUGGUCUUUUAUGGCCUUGGCUGUAGCAAUGAUGAAUGGGAGGUAUGAUUUCAGGGCUUUCUCCUUGUGCUUCCUGUGGAAGCUCAGCUCAUAGGAGCGGACCUCACGUUGGCCGCUGCCAUUGCCAUUGUUGGGGUCAGCUGAAAUGCUACGUGAGAUUAAGCACCAUUUGAAUUCUGUUCCCUCAUGCAUAUCAACCAGCUCUUCACCUUCCUCCAUGGUGACAACCAUCUUCUCGGAAGAUUCAUCCAUGCUGCUGACUCGCAGGCGCUGCAUGUUGUUGUUGAUGCGUGUUGCAAGGUAGCCGAGGCCGGAAAACAGCACAUCACGCACCUCGUAUGGAACCAGCUCGUUCACGACGCUGCGGACCAGCAUCACAGACGCUGCAACGGAUGCAGCGGUUGUGAUGGCCUUCUUGUAUGACUCGAUGGCCUUGUCGUAGGACGCCAUGGGAGCAGAAGAGUUGUGCACCGCAAGUUUCUGCUCGAAAUACUGGAGCAGAAGAAUGCCCGCAUCAGUAUUCCAGAAAAGAAUGCCCGCAUCCAUCUACCACCUCGUUGGCUGAAUCCAUUCCAUGUGCGCAAAUCGCAUACCGUUCCGUGCAGACGACGGUUGGUCGACGUCCGAGUCAGAGACUGUCGAUCAGCAACUUUAUAAAAUUCUGAAAAGUUCCAGCUGCAUGCAUAUAAUGGUCCAUUUGGGGAAAGUGGGGGGCGUUGCUUUGGCUUUGCCUUGUCUCGGUCUACGUCGCCGACGUGUUGAGAUCGACGGAACCGAGCCCCCCAUGGUUACAACUGCUGCUGCUGCUACAGCUGGUGAUGGAUUUUGGACCAAAGGGGUCAAAUUGUUGAUCGCGUAGCGGCGGUGGCACCAAUCGACGUGUUGCUCUGUGGUUUGUCCGGCGACUCCAUGGACCAUUUUCCUUGGUGAUAUCAUCAGUGAGUUGAGUGGGUGCUUUUAUUCGUUUCUGUUGGUGACAGCUACUCGUAUUCUAUCCUUGUGUAACCGCCUCUCUCUGUUCUCUUGUGCUCUUCUGUUGUGAUGGGGAAAUUAUCUAGUACAUUUAAGUUCAUACAGAUUCCUCAUGAAACUAUUAAAAACUUUUGUGAGCUGUAAAUGUAUUCUGGGCACACAAGUUUUUCGUGCACUCA